rnacentral:antisense_RNA from 1 species
UUAACGGGAAGAAAUCGAUUCCCUCUCUCGGUUUAUCAGAUGCGGUUGCUGUAGAAAGCACUACCGUAUCACCAUAGUGCAUAAAUGCUGCACCGUUCGCCUGUUUUGCAACUCUGCCGAUAUCAACAGUUAAAGUUCUGCCGGCAAGUUCCAUAGAAAAACUCUUGUACAUACGUCUAUUCUCCUUUAAAUUAGAAUUUUGUUCUGCGGAAGAUGCCGAAACUACUGAAAAAGACACGAAUGCUCAUGCCCUUUUCAGCGGUCUCGGGACAAAUCUUCCACAUGAAUUGC